rnacentral:rRNA from 1 species
GUGGGGAAUAUUGGACAAUGGGCGCAAGCCUGAUCCAGCCAUGCCGCGUGAACGAUGAAGGCCUUCGGGUUGUAAAGUUCUUUAGCCGAUGAUUAUAAUGACUGUAGUCGGAAAAUAAGCCCCGGCUAACUUCGUGCCAGCAGCCGCGGUAAUACGAAGGGGGCGAGCGUUAUUCGGAAUCACUGGGCGUAAAGCGUGCGUAGGCGGUCUCGUAAGUUAGGAGUGAAAGCCCAGGGCUCAACCUUGGAAUUGCUCUUAAUACUGCAAGGCUAGAAUCUCGGAGAGGAUAGCGGAAUUUCCAGUGUAGCAGUGAAAUGCGUAGAUAUUGGAAGGAACACCAGUGGCGUAAGCGGCUAUCUGGACGAGUAUUGACGCUGAGGCACGAAAGCGUGGGGAUCAAACAGGAUUAGAAACCCGUGUAGUCC